CCUACGGGUGGCUGCAGUGAGGAAUAUUGGUCAAUGGACGCAAGUCUGAACCAGCCAUGCCGCGUGAAGGAUGAAGGCCUUCUGGGUUGUAAACUUCUUUUAUCUGGGAAGAAACCUCCGAUUUCUAUUGGAGCCGACGGUACCAGAGGAAUAAGCACCGGCUAACUCCGUGCCAGCAGCCGCGGUAAUACGGAGGGUGCAAGCGUUAUCCGGAUUCACUGGGUUUAAAGGGUGUGUAGGCGGGCGUUUAAGUCAGUGGUGAAAUCUCCAGGCUC
rnacentral:rRNA from 1 species